CUUUGACAACUGGACGCCUUUGCCGCAGUUGGAGCAAGUGAAGGGCCGUCUCCUGCUGGCACCC